rnacentral:lncRNA from 1 species
AUGUAUUCAAUCUACAUAAACACAGUUCACACUCAUCUUAAGAAAUGAUGUUAUUCCAACCAUUUGCUGAAGAUAUUUCUUCCACUUUGAAAUUCAUAUGGAUGUGUCCAGUGGAAGCAAAUGAAAUCAUGGGAGGAACGAGAAGAAAAGAAGGGACCUGCUGAUCAGACAGUCCUAUUCUGAGCAGGAAUCCAUGUUGUUAAUGAAAACAGUUUAAUCUCUAUUAGCAUUAAUAUUGACACAUCCUUCUUCUAUGUCUUUCCUUUGGAAGAGCG